rnacentral:rRNA from 1 species
GACGAACGCUGGCGGCGUGCUUAACACAUGCAAGUCGAACGGAAAGGCCCUGUUCUUGUGGGGUGCUCGAGUGGCGAACGGGGGAGUAUCACGUGAGUGGCCUGCCCUUGACUUUGGGAUAGCUUCAGGAAACUGGGGCUAAUACCCGACAUGAGCUCCUGCUGCAUGGGUGGGGUUUGUAAGUUUCGGCGGUUGGGCAUGCACGGGCGGCCUCUCAUCUUGUUGGUGGGGUAGUGGCUUACAGAGGCUUUGAGGGGUAGCCGGCCUGAGAGGGUGACAGGCCACAUUGGGCCUGAGGUACCGCCAAGACUCCUACGGGAGGAAGCAGUGGGGAAUAUUGCACGAUGGGCGGAAGCCUGGUGCAGCAACGCCGCGUGGGAGAUGACGGCCUUCGGGUUGUAACCCGCUUGCGCCUGUGACGAAGCGUGAGUGACGGUAAUGGGUAAAGAAGCACCGGCUAACUACGUG